rnacentral:rRNA from 1 species
UUUUUAAUUGGAAUCUUGUAUGAAUGAUUGGACAAGAGAAGUACUGUCUUUGUAUUGAAACUUGAAUUUAACUUUUAAGUGAAAAGGCUUAAAUAUACUAAAGGGACGAUAAGACCCUAUAAAACUUUACAUUUAUGUUAAAUUUUAUGGAAUUUGAAAUUAUAAUUAUUAAGUUUAAUUUUUUUGUUAUGUUGGGGAGACAAAAGCUAUAAUUAUGUAUAACUGCUUUUAAAGGAAACAAAAAUAAAUGGGAAAAUUAAAGAUCCUUUAUUGAGAUUGUAAGAUUAAGUUACUUUAGGGAUAACAGCGUUAUUUUUUUUGAGAGUUCAUAUUGAAAAAAAAGAUUGCGACCUCGAUGUUGAAUUAAAAUAUCUUUAUAAUGCAGGUGUUAUAAAAGAAGGUCUGUUCGACCUUUAAUUUU